GACGAACCGUGCGAACGUUAUUCGGAAUCACUGGGCUUAAAGCGCGUGUAGGCGGGCCGGCACGUCGGUCGCUGAAAUCCCCCGGCUCAACCGGGGAAGUGGCACCGAUACGACCGGCCUGGAGGGGGGUAGGGGGCGCUGGAACUCACGGUGGAGCGGUGAAAUGCGUUGAGAUCGUGAGGAACGCCCGCGGCGAGAGCGAGCGCCUGGACCCUUUCUGACGCUGAGACGCGAAAGCCAGGGGAGCGAACGGG
rnacentral:rRNA from 1 species